CCUACGGGAGGCAGCAGUAAGGAAUAUUGGUCAAUGGACGAAAGUCUGAACCAGCCAUGCCGCGUGGAGGAUGAAGGUCCUCUGGAUUGUAAACUUCUUUUAUCUGGGACGAAAACGGGCCUUUCCAGGCCAACUGACGGUACCAGAUGAAUAAGCACCGGCUAACUCCGUGCCAGCAGCCGCGGUAAUACGGAGGGUGCAAGCGUUAUCCGGAUUCACUGGGUUUAAAGGGUGCGUAGGUGGACAGGUAAGUCAGUGGUGAAAUCUUCCCGCUUAACGGGAAAACUGCCAUUGAUACUCUCUGUCUUGAAUAUUGUGGAGGUGAGCGGAAUAUGUCAUGUAGCGGUGAAAUGCUUAGAUAUGACAUAGAACACCAAUUGCGAAGGCAGCUCACUACGCAUAUAUUGACACUGAGGCACGAAAGCGUGGGGAUCAAACAGGAUUAGAUACCCUGGUAGUCCACGCCCUAAACGAUGGAUACUCGACAUACGCGAUACACAGUGUGUGUCUGAGCGAAAGCAUUAAGUAUCCCACCUGGGAAGUACGACCGCAAGAUUGAAACUCAAAGGAAUUGACGG
rnacentral:rRNA from 1 species